rnacentral:rRNA from 2 species
GGACUACUGGGGUUUCUAAUCCUGUUUGCUCCCCACGCUUUCGUGCCUGAGCGUCAGUGCUGGCCCAGGGGGCUGCCUUCGCCAUCGGUGUUCCUCCGCAUCUCUACGCAUUUCACUGCUACACGCGGAAUUCCACCCCCCUCUGCCACACUCAAGCUUGCCAGUUUCCAUCGCAGUUCCCAGGUUGAGCCCGGGGCUUUCACGACGAACUUAACAAACCGCCUGCGCACGCUUUACGCCCAGUAAUUCCGAUUAACGCUCGCACCCUACGUAUUACCGCGGCGGCUGGCAC